CCCUUAGAUGUUCUGGGCCGCACGCGCGCUACACUGAUACGAUCAGCGAGUUGCGACCUGGGCCGAGAGGCCUGGGUAAUCUUGUGAAAUCGUAUCGUGUUGGGGCUUGACGAUUGCAAUUUUUCGUCACAAACGAGGAAUUCCUAGUAAGCGCAAGUCAUCAGCUUGCAUUGAUUACGUCCCUGCCCUUUGUACACACCGCCCGUCGCUCCUACCGAUUGAAUGUUCCGGUGAACACUCCGGAGUCAUGGCUUUGUGCUCUAUGGGCCUCGCUAAUGGUGAAGUUGUGUGAACCUUAACAUUUAGAGGAAGGAGAAGUCGUAACA
rnacentral:rRNA from 1 species